GUACACUCCUACGGGAGGCAGCAGUGGGGAAUAUUGGACAAUGGGCGCAAGCCUGAUCCAGCCAUGCCGCGGGAGGGAUGAAGGCCCUAGGGUUGUAAAGCUCUUUCACCGGGGAAGAUAAUGACGGUAACCGGAGAAGAAGCCCCGGCUAACUUCGUGCCAGCAGCCGCGGUAAUACGAAGGGGGCUAGCGUUGUUCGGAUUUACUGGGCGUAAAGCGCACGUAGGCGGACUAUUAAGUCAGGGGUGAAAUCCCGGGGCUCAACCCCGGAACUGCCUUUGAUACUGGUAGUCUUGAGUUCGAGAGAGGUGAGUGGAAUUCCGAGUGUAGAGGUGAAAUUCGUAGAUAUUCGGAGGAACACCAGUGGCGAAGGCGGCUCACUGGCUCGAUACUGACGCUGAGGUGCGAAAGCGUGGGGAGCAAACAGGAUUAGAUACCCGUGUAGUCCCAUGA
rnacentral:rRNA from 1 species